GGGGGGUUCGGCGCAUGCGCAGUUUCGACUUGUUGCGAUUUUUGCGACGGGGUGCGAGAGUGAUUCAAUAUUCAAUGAUUAGCUGAUGAAUAAGCGCAUUAUGUCACUGCGCUCAUUAUGUAACCAACGCUGCACUGCUUACUGCAAUUGAGUGUGCGACCGAGAGGGGACAGAGACGGCGGAAGGCGGCACCGGGUGCGGGGCUUCCGGGGGGGAGGCUGGCUUCUCCCUGGAGCCUCUCCAGCCCCACAGCCCCCUGGCAGGGGUGGCCCUGGCACAGCUGCAGGACCCUGAGCAGCUCAAGGCCAUGGGCCUCUGCGGGGAUACCCUCAUCAUCCUCGGCGAUGCGGGGCAGGGCCCGCAGCCAGUCAGCGUGCCCGUGCAGUGCAUCUCAGGGGGCGGGGACUCUGCGGUGGGCUCCACCAGCCUGGUGCUGUGCCUGCCCGAGGACACGGUGGCGGUGCAGGUGGCAGCCUCCAGCCAGGAGUCCUGGGCCUGGCUGCAGGAGGCGGCCCCGCACAGCCAGGGCCUUGUGGCCACCACGGGCGCCACCCUCGCCACUGCGCCCGGUGGCGAGGUGGUGCUGGUCAUGGACUCCUCUGAAGACUCCGUGGGACUUGCGGCCAAGAGCUGGUUCAACGACUCCAUGAUCGCGACGCAGGCGUUGCUCACGCUCGAAACGCACAAGUGACUUCGCCGCACACGCUUCGUUGGCUGACUUGUCGCUAGGCCACCAACUCCGUUCGCUCCUGGGCUGGCGGUGGACCGACUGUCUACCCUGCGCCGUCUGACUGCGCUCUCCUCGGUCACUCGCGUUCGGAGAGUGCUAUCAUGUGGCCAGGGGUUGUUGACAGACGUUCGACCCAUACGCUUUUUGUGCCGAAUUUGUCUCGGAACUACAGCUGGUUUGCCGGUUGUUUUCAUUCUUUCUUGCUUUCGACUUUUUACGUUUCCGGUGGUGCAGAAUGGAUAUCUGAUUUAUUGUACAUUUACUUAGAAAUGAGAAUUAGCUUUGGCUGACAUGCUCCACCUUAACUUAGGGGUGAACGGAGUUGGGGAUUUUGGCGACGGUUGCUUUUUUUGCUGUCUGUUGCAUUAAUUAGUCUGUGCUGCUUCAUGGGAAUGUUUGGUUCUUGCUAGAAAGCCUAGGGGGUUUUGUUGUUGAGCCUUGUUUUUUUUGCAAAUGUGAGACUGCUUUCAUUGAAGACGUUUAUCUGUGCAGUGAAGUAGAAGAGGCUGUAGUUUGACGCCAGCUGACACAAAUGUCAGAAGACGGUUCUUUUCUUUGUAGUUUUCCACGUGCUUCCUGUAGACUAACGCAGUUGCUGAAUGUGUUGUUAAGUUUGCGACCAAUGUGUUUUUGGGCGCCACAGUAUACAACAGUUAUAUUUGAGUCAACGUUGCAUUUUGAAACCUUUAUAGAUGCGAUAUUGCGCGCCGUCAGGAAAGAGAUAGUACCUAUAACCUUGGCCGGGGCAUCCCCUUUGUCUUGUGAGGGCUAACUUGGGAGAGUGCUGAUUCUCGACAGUCACUUAGCCCUCACGAAGAUGAUGUUUCCCGCUAGCUACUUUGCCGGCACAAAGUAAGAAAAAAACUAAUAGUUGCUUGCUUCCUUCCUCUUUUGGCAUGAGCUCGGCCGAACAAAGGGCGACUUUCGCAUGCUUUGGAGCCUUGAAACAUUGUUUUCAGUGAGGUUCCCCAAGAUUUUGUGACUCCAAAGGUGUGCCAGCAGGGAUUAGAGGCCCCAGGUGCAACGGUUGUUAUCGAGGUUUGUAGCCUCGAUGUCGAGAAGGCUUUUAUGUAGGACGCGGCGCCAAGUCGUGCUCACCGCACGGUUUGAGAAGCAGCUUCGGACGCUGGAUGAAGAACUGACGUGUUUUUGGAGCUUGUCAUGUACAUAAGAGGCACAGUCGACCUGUUUGUGCAUGUACAUAGAGUAUUUUCCUCUUAGACUUAUUAAAUCGUUCACGACGCUG
rnacentral:lncRNA from 1 species